CGUCCUUUCUUAAUAGCGUCUCGCAUCAGAUUUCAUUAUAGACUAGGCACUCACAUAAACGAAAAAAGUUUUAGUGGGGCGGAUAACGCUUUAUUUACUUAUAGACAUUAGAUCUCGCCGUUCAUCAGGCCUUAUACUUAACUAAGAAAAGUUUUCCUAUCUUCUUUGCUUUGGUUUUGCUCUCCCGAAGAGAUAUAUAUAUGAUAUCUUUCUUACUUUAUACAUUUUGACUUGUCCUUGUACUUUAUGUGGACUUAAAAAAUGUCAAAUCAAUCUUUUGGUGGUUGUAAUAGGCCCAUUUUGCCCGAGCCCAAACCCAAAACCAAAACAGAAUAAUAAAUAAUAAUAAAUAAAUAAAGUCCAAAUUAACAAUCCAUUAAACAAUUCCAAAUACAGGCCCAAAUCUUGAGGCCCAAACCAAAUAAAAACCCAAAUAUAAGGCCCAAAUAAACCCCAACCUAAAUUGGCCUAAAGUCAAACCCUAGGCCACCAAGCUGCCGUUCCCAUGUGCCUCAAACACCAUCAGCAACGGCUUCCAUGCGCACCACAGCCUCCACACCUGCGAGAAGAAAAUAACAAAAAAAUAGCAAACAACGAUUGAUAGCAAAUAAUAACAGAUUACAGCAAGGAUUUUUUAUUUUCCUUUUCCUUUUCCUUUUAUUUUUAUUUAUUUUUCGGCUAUAAAGACCAGGGAAAUCGAAUGUAAAAGGGGGAUCCUUUUGAGAGGAUUAUACACGCAUAUUGUACAAAGGAGAAAGUAAUCCCAAAUCAGUUGAAAAAGGGGAUUUUUUUUUCUGAAUACACGAUGAGAAGAGAAAUAUACUGAAAAGAAAAAGGUGAUUUACUCUCUCUGCUUUUUUAUUUUUCUUUGUUACUUUAUCUUAGAAAUCUACAUAACAAAUACAAAGAAAAAAGAGAGAUCUCUUACCAAUCGAUCGGCGCCGACCUAGUCGGUGGUUGCUUCUUCGAUCCAAGGGUAGACGGAUCUUAAGGAUUCGACUAAAGCUACGACGGAGGAGGUGUGUUUGGCGCCACCUUCGCACAUAGAUCAAUCGAAGGGAAAGAGGGCGGCUAAGAGGAUUGGGAGAAAAUUUUUGAAAACUCUUUUUGUUUUAAGGAAAUAAUCAGCCAAAUGAAUGCAUUAGGGCAAAAAAAAAUAGUUUAUAUAUGUUUAAAAUGACACCAUUUUGUGCCUGAGGUCUGAACGUCUAAACGACAUCGUUUCAUGGCCUUUGACCCGCGCCUAGAUCUGACCCACAGACUGGAUCCGCGUGUUUUCUUGUUGAAGGGGUUAUUUGCGAAGUUAGUCCCUCUUCUCCUGCACCGAUCUUUAAUCAAGCCUCAAUCAUGUUUUAUUUGUUUCUACAUUUUCCCUGAGAUUUGUGCAUUGUUACGAUCUAAUCUUUAUUUGAACGCUGCGUUUUGAGAUUCAGUAUAUUUGCAUUCCAAGUCCCUACUCAUUUGUGUGCAUUUUAUUUUGAUCCUCAGUUCUGUUUUAAUGAUUUGUUUUAUUUAUAGGUUAUCCUUUCGAUUUUGUUUUUACCUCAAUUAAGUUUAGUUUAUGUUCUAUAUUUUUUAGGAUUCAUUUAUUUUUUUAACCUAUUAUUUUAACAUACUAUUUUAAACUAUUUUAUUAAUUUCAUUUUGUUUUAGUUUUUUUUAUAUUGUUGAAUUGUUUUAUUAUAUAAUUUAUUAUUUUAAAAUUUUCUCCAUGUAAUUCUAUGCUUAAACUUUUUUAUAUAAUAUUUUUCUUCAUAUAUUCAUAUUUAUAUAUAUAUAUAUAUAUUACAUUGAAUUACUUAUUUAAAUUCCUUUUCGAACAUGUUCAUAUAUUUCUUCCAUUAAAUUUAUUUAUGUAUAUAAUUUAUUUCUUUUAAGAAUCCAAUUUUGGUAUUAUAUUUUGUUUGUUUCAAAUAUUUUCCUAUAUUAUUAUAUUUUGUAUAUACAUUAUUUAUAUUAAGUUUUCAUUUCAUAUAUAUAUAUAUAUAUCAUCAUUUUUAAACCAAUAUGUUUUAUUUUAAAUUAUUUUGUAUAUCAUUUUUCUUCAAAUUUCUUCUUACAUAAUAUUUAGUUUAAUAAUCAUUCGUAAAUUAUAGGUGUCAUUAUUUUAUUCAUAUAAAUUAUUUCAAACCCUAGCAUGUGUUGUUCCUUUGUAAAUUAUCAUAUAUUUAAUCGCUUUUAAAUUGUUUAUAUUACAUCGAUUCCUAGUUUUCAUAUUGUUUUGCAUAUUGUGUGUCAUUUUUGGUUUUCACAUUGUUCCAUAUAUUAUUGUUGCAUAUUAUUUAUUUGUAUUUUUGUAUUAUUAUUAUAUCAAUUGUUAUUCAUCCAUGUUUGAGAAUUUGGUUAUAUUUUUCUUGAAUUAAUCAUAUUAUAUUGUUUGUUUGGUUAAAUGGUUAAGUAAGGUUGUGUUAUUUUCGUUCACCAAGUAUUGUAUUUUAUGCAUGUAUAUUAUCCCAUGAUUAUUAUUUUUUUCUUUUGGUUUACAAAAUGUUGCUUUAUGAUUUUCAACUCUUUAAAAUAAAUUAUUCCCUUUUAUUUCAAAAUAAAAUUAAGACAUUUUGAGCUAGUUUACAAUGGUUUAUUUAAAAAAUUUCAAAUAAGGCAAUGUUCAAUAUUUGAAAAUUCAAAGAAUCGUGCCCUACUAUGCUGGGUUUCGAUUCUUUGUUGGACUAAAUAAUUGGACAUUCUUUUGUAAUUUUCAAUGCAUAAACUUUGGAGGUCAAAAAUCAAUCGUGUUUUUAAAGGUAUGAAGAAUCGUUUCCAAUCGUGCUGGAUGUGAUGCUAUAUAUCUUUGAAACGAGAGAAUUUUGACGACCAGCUUGAACCACUUAAAUGUUUUAAAGAAACCAUAUUUCAAUUUUUUUUUCUAAAAUCUUAGACAUAAGGAUAGCACUUAAUUAAUCUGGUACCAAUUUUUGGGUGUAGUGAGGGUGCUAACCCUUCCUCAUACGUAACUGGCUCCCGAGCCCUUUUUUUUUACGUAGACCAAAAUUGAUUUAAAUGGAAUAAAAUAUUUUAUUAGGUGAUCCAAUCACACCUAAGAAAAAAGAUUGGUGGCGACUCCACACUUUAUUUUAAAAGGUCGAUCCCCGUUUUUUCCUUAAAAAAUGGUUUCGACAGUGGUAUUAUCCAAAUAUUACAAAUUCCAAGAAAAUUAAUCAAGUGUUCCAGUUGGUUCUUGACUAUUUUAGUUCUCAUUUGGUUACCUCCUAAUUAUCUUUUCCUUAAAUCUUAACCGACUCAAGGCCAACAUUACUAGAUGCACUUAUUGUUGAUAUAAACUUUCUUAUCAUAGGGUUCAUUUUCUUAUUACGGAGUCUACCAUGCCAAUAGAGGCUUUUAGGGCGAAUCCUUUAUUAUCAGGCUUACUACGUGCUUACCUAAUGUUCUCCAAUCCCUCAAAGCAUCACAGGUGAACUCACAAUGGUUUUUUAUACUAGCUCAAACACCAUUCACUUCUAACUCACCUUAUCCAACACAUUCUCUGAAUAGUAUUUAGAUACCAAGAUUCCGUCAGGCUGGAUGUUACAAAAGCUAUCACACUAUAUUGCAAUAACAGUGCGACAAUAGCUAACACCAAGGAAACUGUAAAAUGAAAGAGGACUAAGAAUAUUGAUAGAAAGUUUCACAUUAUAAAAACGACAGUGACAGAAGAAAUAAUGGAUGUAGUCAAAGUCGCAUAAGAGGACAACCUUACAGACCCAUUUAUUAGGACUCUGGUAGCUAGGAGUUUUGAGAAACAUGUAAAGGACAUGUGAUUAUGAAAUAUGACUCAUCUACUUUACUAGGGCAAGUGGAGGAUUGCUGGAUCUAGUUCCGUAAAUGUAGUAUAUUCAUUUUCUGUAUUGGUAAUUUUUUGAACAAAUUGGUUUAAGAAAAUAUCCACUGAUUACAUUAAUAGUCUUUGUAUGUUGUCCUUAAUGUUUUUGCAUGUAAAUAUUGCAAAGGAAAAUGGAAACAAAUAUUAGCUCACCGGUUAUCUAACAUUUAACUAAUACUAAACUGUAUUAUAUGGUUGAAUUGUAAUACAAAAAGACAACUUGUCUUAGUAGAUAAUCCUAAACAUAUCCUUAGUUUAAUAAAAAAUGAGCAAAUCAAUUCAAAGAAUAAUAUGCCAUCUAUCAACUCCAAUUAGGGAGAUGCUUUGUCUUGAGCAUUAGGGUGGAUAGCUCCCAAAAGAUAAAGACAUAGCUGUGACUGACUGAACUGAUAGUACAUUAAAUAAGACCCAAGUAGAAUAGAUCCUAAAUCCAUUUAUGGAUUUAUUCGCUUAUGACGUUUAUAGUGUGACAUAUCUUAAUCUUAAGUGGAUGAUGUAUGUAGUGCCCUAUACCAGACCCUAGAUGAGGAUCCAGGAAUGGCGCGUUACAAUUUUACAUCCUUUCCAUUUCUCCAAACACAAUUUGAAAAGAAGUUAGACUUCAUCAAAGCUAACUUAAGACAAUAGAAUUUUGAAAUACUAAAUCAUGAAGUAAACCAUUACAAAUCGAGACCAUAAGCUUCAUUUCAAAAGUUAGGGAAAAAAUAUAAUUUGACGAAUACAAUUUUAGUUACAAAAUAUCAUUGUUCAAAAUCCUAAGCUUAAUGCCACCCCCAUUAUCAUGCAUAACACAAAAUCAUUAGAAGUCUUACAACAAAAAUAUCUUUUGGUGUGGUCCUUGGUGAUUCAUUUACUUCUUCAAUGAUCCUGAGAAGGAAAGGUAAUGUAGUAAGAUCAUAGAACUUAGUGAGUUCUAGAGCAGACACUAAGAUAUACAUACGGUAAACAAAUCAACCUUUUCAACUUAAUGAAACACUUAGUUUCCCCAUUGGUGAAUAUUAUACACAAGAAGAAUUUAUAGAUUUCACCUACUGGCGAAUAUCGAAUUUACAGAGACCAUAUAAUAGACUAAGUUCCUUUGGCGCAUACAUUACGCCCAUGCAUUCAUGUAGACAACUUUCUUCAUGUCGGCCAAAACCCUAGUAUGUUUUUAAAGAUCAAUCAUUCAUUUCGUUUCCUUUUCCAUGCUUGCCAAUCUAGUUUGCAAUGUACUUGCCUUACCAGAGGCCACAUAACCAUUAUUCAUAUAUCACGAUCUGUCAGUUCAAUGCACUUUGCAUUGAAGGCAACACCAUGAAUCCUUUUCUUUAUUUUGACAAUAUGGCUCUUUUUUCAGAGUAUAAUGGGUACUCAACACAAAGUAAGGUUCUUUUUCACUUUCAUAGACAUGCAAGACUAGACUUUUCACCGAACAAGUGAACUUACCUUGAACUAAACUUUAACAAAAGCACGAUACAUUCACAUAGGGUAUAAAGGAACUCACUAGAAAAUACAACAAGGUUUAAAUUGCAGGUCUCUUGCCCUUGUCUCGAGAGCCUUUAGGAGUUUCUUGAGUUAUGACAUAAGCAGUUAACUUAUCAGGUUACGUUCUUCAGAAAAGCUAAGCAAGUUUUUCAAGAAUACUAUAUCAAGAUACCUAGAAUUUGGAAGUUUCCUCUCCUCUUUCCUUCUAAAUUGAUCAUAGAGCAUGAAACCCUAAUAACCAUGAUAAUAGCUUAAGUUUCAUCGAUAUUUACUAGGUAUCAAACUUCGAUGAAAUUUGCUGACAAACCCAAACCUUCAAGCUAGCCUUACUUCUAGAGCUUUCCUGGAUGUUGCAGAGAGAAUAGAGAGAGAAAAUAAAGUUUUCUGAAGAAAGCAUAAAGCUUAGUCAAGAAGCCAAUACUGGUUUUAUAUUGAUCACACGGAAGGAAAACUUAGUGGGCAAGUUUAUUCUCCACACUACCCCUCAUUCAGCAACCGUGACUAAUAACUUUCUCUCUCUUCUUAAAUGCAUGUCCUCUUAAUAUCAGACAUCUUGUCUCAUUCUAACUGUCAUUUUCCAGGCCAACUAUCUAGUUCAACCAAAAUAAUAAGGCUAACAAUACUAAUAAAUAAGCACUAACGUGUAUUAGCAGGGGUGACGUACACUCUGUAAAGGAGCUUUGCCAUCCACUAAGCUUGCCUUAACAUGGACUUUGCCCGAGGGUGUACUCAUACUUCUUAAGAGCUUAGCUAGUUCUUAAUAUUUUAUUUGCUUAGAAUUUAUUCUAUAAGCUUAUCUCCAUAAAUAGUACUUAAUGCCCUAGACUACACUGGGCGGGAUGUUACAAUUCUCCUCCACUUGGGAAAUUUCAUCCCCGAAAUUCAUACCUAAAAACAAUUGUAGGUACUGUUCUCUCAUUAUGCUUUUCCUUUCCCAAGUGGCUUAUUUAGUGUCGUGAUUUCUUCAUAGUACCUUUACUAAGGGAAUUCUUUUAUUCCCUAUCUUUUUAACUUUCUUAGCCAAAAUACGGGUAGACUCUUCCUCAUAAGAUAAUUUGGCUCAACUUCAAGCUCUUCAAUUUGUACUACAUGUUUAGGUUUGGAUCUAUACCUACACAACAUCAAUACAUGGAAUAUGUCGUGGAUCUUUGAUAAAUGAGGAGGCAACACGAACAUAUAUUCUACUGUACCAAUCUUGUCCGAAAUCUCAUAUGGUCUUAUAAAACUAAGGCUUAGCUUCCCUUUUUGAUCGAAGCGUAUAAUCCUUUUUUAAAGGGAGAUCUUCCAGAAUACCUUCUCUCCUACCUGAAAGGAUAUUUCUUUCCUCUUUAAGUUGACAUAUGACUGUUUUCGAUCUUAUGCAACCUUUAAGUGAUUGCGAAUAAAGACAACCUUUUCUUCCGUUUUGUGCACUAAGUCUGAUCCUACAAUUUUUCUUUCAUUUAGCUCUGGCCAACAAGUAGGUGUUCUACACCUUCUACCAUAUAAGGCUUCAAAGGGAGGCAUCUUUAAAUUGGUGUGGUAGAUAUUGUCAUAGGUGAAUUUAAUCAGGGGAACAUACUUGUCCCAGUUUGUCUUGAAAUCGAUCACACAAUAGUGCAUCAUGUCUUCUACUACUUGAAUCACUAUUUCAAAUUUGCCAUCUGUCUGGGGAUGGAAUGCAGUGUUAAAUCUCAAUCUUUUCCCUAGUAAUUUUUGUAAUUGUUGCAAAAAUCUUGAAGUAAACCUCGGAUCUCUAUCAGACAAAAUGGACAAUGGCACCCCACGGAGGUGUACCACUUCAGCAAUAUAUAAUUCAGUCAACUUUUUCAAAGAAUAUUUGGUAUUCAUAGAAAGGAAAUGUGCUGAAUUUGUAAGCUGAUAUACUACCACCCAAGCAGAAUUGCUCGUGGAAGGACUAAUGGGUAAUCCAGAAACAAAGUCUACAGUGAUCCUAUCUCAUUUCCACUCAGGGAUUUCCAAAGUGUACAACUUACUCGAAGGAACUUGAUGCUCUACCUUUACUAUUUGGCAUGUCAGACAUGUGGAAACAUAUUCCGAGAUUUCCUUCUUCAUAUUAGGCCACUAGUAAGAGUCUCUCAAAUCUCUAUACAUCUUGACACCACCAGGGUGUAGCGAAAAAUGCCCUUAGUGAGCUUCCCUCAAUAAUUCCUUUCUCAAAUCAUUUUCCAUCGGUAGAAAUACUUAGUCUCUGAAUCUGAGUUUACCAUCCUUACCCACAUUAAAGUGUAAUGUUUUGUCUGACGACAUAUUUUUCUUGUAUCUUUCACAUUAGCAUCAUUUAUUUGUUUCUCCAGAAUUUGCAAAAGAUGGGUUGGCUUCAACACUAACUUUUCCAAUAAUGCUCCAUUAUCAUCCAUUGUCACUUUAACUCGUAAGGACAAUAAGGCCGCCAUAGUUUUCCUGCUCAAGGCAUCUGCCACCACAUUUUUCUUAAAAAAUAUUCGAUGAUAUUCUAUAAUAUUCCAAACUAUGAAUACCAACUUUUCCAAAGAAUAUAUUUCCUGGAUGAUAUUCGAUGAUCAGGUCAUAAUCUUUUAACAAUUCUAGCUGUUUCCUUUGGCGUAUAUUCAAUUUCUUCUGGGUCAUUAGGUAUUUGAGACUUUUGUGAUAAAAAAAGAUGUGGCACCUUUCUCUAUAGAGAUAAUGUCUCCAGACCUUUAUUGCCAAAACUACAGUUGCCAAUUCCAGAUCAUGCAUAGGGUAGUUCCUUUCAUGCAAUUUUAAUUGGCGUGAAAAAUAUUCUAUAAUCUUUCCCUUUUGCAUAAGAACACAUCUUAACUCAUUCAAGGUUACAUCUAUAUAUACUGUAUACUCAAUGCCAGGUUCAGGUUGAACCAGUAUUGGAAUGUCAGUUAGAACUGCCUUUAACCUUUCAAAGCUUUAUUGGCACUCAUCACUCCAAGUAAAUUUCAUUUUUCUUCAACAAUUUGAUAAGCGUUGAGGUUAUAACAAAAAAUCCCUUCAAAAAUCUCCUAUAGUUCCUAACCAAUCCUAGGAAACUAUGAACCUCCGUAACAUUCCUCGGUGGUCCCAUUCAAGGAUUUCCUUUACCUUGACAGAUCCACCUUGAUACCUUCCGUUGAAAUCACAUGACCUAGGAAGUGUACCUCUUUCAACCAGAACUCACACUUAUUAAACUUGACAUACAACUGAUGCUCGCGUAAGGUCCUUAAUAUAAUUCUUAAGUGUUCUUAUUGAUCUGGCUUGUUCUUAGAUUAAACUAAUAUAUCAUCGAUGAAGACCACUAUGAACUGGUUCAAGUACAGCUAAAAUACUCUAUUCAUUAGAUCCAUGAACACCAUGGGCGCGUUAGUUAAUCCAAACGACAUUACUAAAAACUCAUGGUGCCCAUAACAUGAUCUAAAUGUCGUCUUAGGUAUGUCAUCUUUCUUAAUUUUUAUUUGAUAGUAUCUAGACCUUAAGUCAAUCUUGGAGAACAUUGAAACUCCACUUAAUUGAUCAAAUAAGUUUUCGAUUCGGGGCAAGGGGUACUUAUUCUUAAUGGUGACCUUAUUCAUUUGGCGAUAGUCUAUGCAUAGAUGCAUAAAUCCAUCAUUCUUAUUGACAAAUAAAAUUGGUGCACCCCAAGAAAAUACACUAAGCCUAAGGAAGCCCUUACUUAAUAGAUCUUGUAACUUCUCUUUUAUCUCUUUAAACUCCAUUGGCACCAUCCUGUAAGGUGUACAUGAUAUAGGAUCUGGUCCAGGCUCUAACUCUAUUGAAAACUCUAUCUCCCUAUCCUUAGGCAUAUUGGAUAGUUCCUUAGGGAAUACGUCCAUAAAUUUUUUUACUAUGGCACUUGGCUAACUUUGCUCUUGAGCUCAAGCGAGUCCAUGAUAUACACCAAGUAGGCAUCUGUGCCCUGAACAAUCAAUUUCCUAGCAGACACUACAAAAAAAAUCCUCUCCACUAAUUAUGACUUUUUCCCCGUUAAUAAUAUUUCCUUUCCCUCCAAACUGGCCAAGCACACAGUUCUAGACCGACAGUCUACCAUAGCAUUAUGCCUAGUCAACCAAUCUAAUCCUAAUAUGUCAUCAAACUUGUGAAAACUCAAGAGAAGUAAGUCUAUUGAAAACACGUGCUCGCUCAUAGCUAGAGGGCAAUUCCUUAUCAACUUAUUUACCAUAGUGCUCUGCCCCAAAUGGUUCAUUACUUAUACGCUAGUCUUAGAACAUUCUACCUCGAGAUUUAGACCCUUUAUGAUCUUAGGACAUAUAUAAGAAUAAGUAGAUCUAGGGUCAAUCAAAGCAUAAAUACCAUUACUGAGGAAAGAAAAAUUACCGGUGAUGACCUUAGGUAGGUCUACGUCUUCCUUGGCUUUCAUUACUUAGGCCCGUGCUGAGGCGGCAGAAUUAGUUCUACCAAAAUAUUUCCUUUGUGACCCUUGCACUAAACUAGACUUAGCCCCUAUUUCCAAUAUGUUCUUAGGUUUGUAAUUCCAAGGGGUUUUAACUGACUGCUCUAUAGUAUACUCGGACUUGGUGGGGCAAUCUUUUAUUAUGUGGUCCCUAUACCUACAACUAUAACAGGCUCUUAUCUUCUUUCUACAUUCUCCGCAUGACUCCUUACACAAAACUCACAUCGUUCUUUCUCUAUUUGAAAAUUUCCAGAAUUGUCCAUAGAUUCGAUCGGCUAAUGUUCAUGGAACCAACUAAAAUUUUUGACUAACAUGUGCACUUAUCAAUUAAUAGUAUAACUAUGGUAAGCAAAGAUAUCAUUCCUAUGAAGACUAAAAGUACAACUAAUUACUGUCUUUCUAUUAUUUAACUGAACAAUUCAAGUGAUCAAUUAAAAACUAAAAUUAAUUAAAUUAAUUAACUGAAAAAACAACAAAUAGAAAAAUAAGAAAAUGAUCGAUUAAUAACCAAGAAGUGAAGCAAUACCGAAGAAAGAAUUCACUUAGACUUCAUCUGUCACUAUCAAUCUAAAUUAUGCAAUUUCUUUACUUAGCAACUUGGUUCGUAGAAAUCCCUAAAUUAUGCUAAUAACUCUUUCAAGAAUAAGAGCAACUGACCCUAGGUUGAUUAAUUGAAAUUUUUUUCUAAUUAAAAUCUAUAUUAUUGCAUUAACUUGUGCUAUAGAUUCCUUAUUAGAUUUUACUCCAGUCCAAUAGAUUUACGUCAUCCUAUUUCUAGGAUUGCAAGCAAAUCCACUCAAUUAUACAAGAUUUACUCUUAAAUAAGGUUUAUUCAACCUCUCAUUUAAGCACAUCAAACAUGGAUCAAUAAUCUAGAAAUGUCAAACCAAGAACCAAUCACACAUAAUUGAAAACAAGAAACUAAGUCUCUAUUACGUAAAAUAAGAAUCUGAUGAAAAGAAUCCAUCAUAGGGUUCAUCUCCCUAGUUAUUUAGAAAAUAAGUUCAUGCUUGAAAAUAAAAACAUCCAAAAGACAGUAUAACCGAAAGAAAUAAAGAAACUUAUGAUAAUCUCUUAAGAAAUCGACUGGGAAUACUCAAUCUUGACAGAAAUCUACUUCAAAUUAGGCUUUAAUGGUGUUUUUUGAAUUGUUUUCUUGAAUAUUCUAUGACGACUGACUCCUAUCUUCUUAAUUUUUUCAUAUACACGUUUUAGAAUGCCCAAAAAACCUAAAAAUCACUUUUUUUUUAUAAUUCAGAGUGUAAAUCUGAGCAAUCAACACGGUCUACCAUAUGGUCGUGUGAUAGCCCGUGUGGGUCACACGACUGUAUGGAAUGGGUCACCCUGUGUGGCUCCUAUAGCUUGCUCUGAUGUAACAACCCAUUUUUCAAUGGUAAAGGAAUAGUAGUUUUGGGACCACAAAUUUUUUUCGUGUCGACUCAUAAAUAUUUUAUAGAAUAUUUGUAGAGUCAUUAAGGUCGUAUUAAAAUUUGGUUAAGAAAUUUUAAUGUUUAGGUAGCUAAUUAAGGAAAAAGGACUAAAUUGUAAAAGGUGAAAAACUUAGUAAUUAUUGCGUUUAGGUUAUAAAGUAGAUUACUUACUUAACGAGGAAGGACCUAUAUAGUAAUUACCCCUAGUUAAUGUGGUUGGAUGGCAAUUAGAAUGAAAAUGAUAGAAUAUUAUAUGUUUAAUGGCAUAAUUGUAAAUAAAUCAAAAUUAAACAAAACAAAUUGAAAGAAAUUAGACAUUUCCUAUUCAUUUUUCUUCAACCAUUUGAAAUCACCAUUGAAGAGAUCUCCAAGCUUUGGUUUCAUCUUCCUUGUGCAUGUGAGCUCAAUCCUCACCUAUUUCUUGUAAUUUUUAUGUUUUUGAGAUUAUUGCAACUAGGUCCAACUAGCCUGUACCUUUAUUUUUUAAUCUGUUAAAAAUUUUAGAAGUUAUAUUGAUGAAUCUUGAAUUUUUUUUAUGAUAACUAUGUGUUUGAGGCUUUGAUUGUGGUAUUUGGUUGUUUUGUGAAGUGAUUUUUGAUAGAUUUUGAUUUAAGGAUUAAAUUGUCAAAAUGUGAAAAUUUCAAGGUUUAAAUGGUGAAUAAGAGGUGUGUAACAGCCUGAUUUAGACCCUAAUCGAAAUGGUGGUUUUGGGACCAUGAAUCCGAGUCAGAUAAUUUUUAAAAAAAGUUUAUUUUCUAUGUUUAUUAUGUGUGAAUUUAUAUGUGUGAAAUUUUCGUGCUUUAAUUUUGUCAUUUGAGUGCCCAAUUAAAUAAAAGGACUUAAUCGCGUAAAGUGAAAAUUUGAUGAUUAUUUUUAAUAGGGCCAAUUGAUGAUGUCUUUUUUAUAUGAGCUAUUUAUGUUGCAAAUUUCCCAUGAUAAUUUACAAUGGACGGUAGUGACCAUGACUUAAAAUGGUUUUAUAUUUCAUUUAAAAGAUUAAUUAUGUAAAAAUUAUAAUAUGUUAUUAUAUAUCAUAAAACAUAAUAAAAAAAUAAAGCCAUUUUGGGUGUUCAUAUUGUUCUUACCAAACAUAAAAGAAAAGAAAAUAAACUUAGGGCAUUCGACACUAUUCAAGCUUGAUUCAAGGUUAGUUUGGUUUUGGUUUUUGAUAAUUUUUACGUUUUUGAGAUUGUUACUUCGAAAACUAUCCGACCUGUGCUAGAAUUUCUAAUUUUGAUGGAUGUUUUGAGUUAUGCCAUUGAUGAAUAUUUGUGUUUGGUGAUGUUUGAUGAUAAAAUAUUAAAGAUAUUUUUUAGAUUAACAUGUUUUGUAUUGGAGUUUUGAUGAUUUUGAGUAAUUAGGGCUAAAUUGUAAAAAUAAUAAAUUAAGGGAGUAUAUUGUGAAAUAAACAAAAUUUAAGGACUUUUAUGGGUGUGGGGAGUAUUCGGCCUAAGUAUAGCAUGAGCAAAUUAUGCUUGUUUUGUGUUUUAUACAAUUAGGACUAAUUUGUAAAGGUAUGAAAUAUCAGGGGUAAAAUGGUAAUUUUCCCAUUUAUGUGUUGUUGGAUUAAAUUGAACAAAAUUGUGUUUGAAUGAGAUUAAUUUGAAAUUGUAUAGAUCAAGAACAAAAGAAAUCAGACUUGGAUUGGGGAAAAGCAAAAAUAGUUGAAUAGUCGAUUUACAUCGUUCGUCGAUAUCCGAGGUAAGUCUUUAAGCAAUUAAACAUUAUUAAUUUUGAAUGUAACUCAGUUUAAUAUGUUGAUUUAGAAUAAAUAAGUUUAUAGUAGAGUAGCUGAAUGUGAAUAAGCAUAGAAAUAACGUAUUUGAGUUUAAUUCGACUGAGUUAUAACAUUUGAAAGUUAGUAUCAACUAUAUGGAAUAUCUGGAAUUUUUGAUAUAUGAAUUAUUUAUGAGACAACUUUAUAAUAGUGAUAUUCGGGCUUUGAGCCUAGCAAGCCUUGUGCUGGUGAAUUAAAUCGGGCUUUAUGCCUAGCAGGCUUAUUGCUGGUGUAUAAAAUCAGACUUUGAGUCUAGCAGGCCUUGUGCCGGUGUGUGAUACAGGCUUAGGCCUAGCAGGCUUUAUGCCGGUGAAUUAUUAUAAGUUUAUGCCUAAAAGACUUUAUGCUGAUGUGUUAAUUGAAUACGUUAAAUGAGCUAAAUGAUCAGGUAUGAGUUAGCUUGUUGUUUACUUGAGAUAAGGUAAAUAAGUAACUUGAUAUUUGUUACUAAUUAUGUGUGAUACAAAUGAAGAUUUCAUGUGAAUUUAGUAUGUGUAUUUGGCUUAGUAAAUAAAUAGUAUGAAUAUUGUAGAAUUUAUUCUUGGAUAUGUGCAUAUAUGUGAUCAUGUAUAUUCGGCCAUAUAAGUGGUGUAUGUACAUGAUGUUAUAUUAUAGUUUUUGAGCUUAUAUAAAUGUGUAUGUGUAUGUUUGAUUAUAUUAAUACACUUUGGCUUUGAUAUUGAAUAAGAUUAGGUCAUAUUGAUUAAGUGAGCAUUCGGCUAAGAUAGAUUUUGUGUUUGAAAAUGUGAUAUUUAUCUCAUUUGUAGGUUUGAGGUUAAACAUGGUAAUGAUAAUGAAGUUUGGAUUAGCUUAAAAUGAAUUGAUUAUAUGAUUGAGGUGUUUAUUUUCUUAUGACUUAUUAAGCUAUUAUAGCUUACUCUGUGUAUUUUCGUUUACUCUAUUUUAUAGAUUUUGGAUUCAAGUUACAAGCUCGGAGAUCGUCAGCAAAGUCUAUCACACUAUCAACUGUCUUCGGUAUUUUAUAAGUUACCUUUUGGAACUAUGGCAUGUAUAGGCUGGGAUAUACUUUUGGAAAUGUUGUAUUUCGGUUUAUGUAUAAUUUGAGCCAUGCGAAAAUGACUUAAUUUCUAUGUUUGAAUUCGGUUAUGCUUGGUUGUGGUUUGAAUUCGUUUUAGUUAACAUGUUAAGUAAUAUGAAUGCAUGAAGUUUGAAAUAGGUGUUUUAUGCUUUGAAAAUGGCUUAACUAAUCCGGUUUUUUUCGAUUAUGUUUGAGUUCCUUUAGAUUAUUAUGUCAUGUGUUUUAAAUGAAAGUUACAUGUGGUAAUUGGUAUAUUUAUAUACAUAUAUUUUGAGUGUUAAAGAUGCUUGUUAAAUUUGAAUGUAUGUAUUAGGCUGAUUCGGUUAUGGUAAUCAUAUAUAAGUGAUUAUUGUAUCUUGGCUGUUGUAUCUGGUCAUAGUGUUGAAUAUGAGAUAGCGUUAUAAGUAGUUUGGUUAUGUUCGAACAUGACAUAAGAUCGUUUUAAUAUGUUUAUUAUAAGAGGAAGACAUUUAUAAUGGUUUUGAUUAACUUGCGAUUUGGUGUUUGACUAUAUAAAUAUUUAUGCACUAGGAAAUGACUUGAUAUGCAUUUUACCUUAAGUAUAUAUAUAUAAACAUGAUGAUGAUUAAUGAUGUGUUUCAGUUAUAUAUGAAUAGGGAAUGUAUAUGGUGUUAUAAAGAAUUAUGCAUUAUUAAGCUAGAAAUGCAUGUUAUUUAUAGGAUAAUAUUCAGUGUAUGCUUAAUGUGCAUUUUAAAAUAGGUAAUGAUUUAUAAAAUGGAUGAACAAGGUUGGAAGUGAACGAUUGUCUAACUUAUUGGAGAAUGCAUUUAUAUUUGGAUUGAUGAAAUGAAAAUGAAAAAGUGAAUGGUAUAUAAAUGUAUACAAGUUUAUGCAUGUGAUUAUUCGAAUACGUGUUCUGAUUGGUAAUACCUCGUAACCCAGUCCAGCGAUGGAAACGGGUUAUGGGUGUUACAAGGUGUUUUGUGUAUUUUUUAGAAGCCUUGAAUAUUCAGCUAUAAAUUUUAACUUGUGAAAAUGGUUAAUUUGAAGUUUUUCGAUUUAAGGGACUAAAUUGCAAAAGUUGUAAAAGUUAGGGGUAAUUGUGUAAUUUUAAAAAAUAAAAAGGGUUUAAAAUGUAAACUAUUUUGGAAUAUGAAAUGUAUGCUAAUAAUUUGGAAUUUUAUAUUUUAGAUCAAGACCCUGUUAAUUUAUGUGGAAAAAAGAAAAUUAUGGAAUAGUCCCUAAACCUCUGCAACUAUUACAACUUAGUCUAGGUAAGUUUGUAUUGUUUAUAAUUUAAUAUCUAUAUUUAUUGUUUGAUGACAUAAUAUGAUAUAAUGGAUGUUAAUUGUUUUAUUGAUUAUGUAAGUUGUUUUAGAAAUGUUAUUGAAUUUUGAUAUUUGGAUCAGAUGAACACAAGAUAGAUUACAAUUGAAUGAUGGUGUGUUAUGUGGGGAUUAAAGUGGAGAUUGAUGUGGUGUGAUUUAUAUAUUUUUCCCGAGUAUACCGAGGUUCAGCAUUUGUUGUGAACCCUCGUGUUAUACUAUCUUAUUCUGGAAUGUUAUGGGGGCGGAUGUAUAGCUAUUAUGAGCAUUUGGCGUGGUAUCGGUUAGAUUAGCUCUUAUAAGCAUUUGUCGUGUUAUCGGUUGCAUUAACUCUUAUUAGCAUUUGGCAUGUUUUGGUUGGAUUAAUUGUGUACUCACAUCUAUAAGUCGUUCAUCAUAUCAUAAAUUAUUAUAUUAUAUCUUAUAUAAUGACUUGGGAUUGGUUUGACAUGUAAAUGAUAUCUAGAAUUGAUUCUAUUGUGGAUAUAUAUAAUUUCCAGGAUAUUAUUGUUGAGCUUUGAUUUGAACUAUGCAAUUCGCCAGUUGACAUUGCGGAUGGAAGGAAACAUGUAACAACCCGUUUUUAGUUAAAUCAGAAUAGUGUUUUCGAAAUAAAAAAUUCCGAGGUCAAAAUAUUUAUUUUAUUAUUAUUUUAAUGUUUAUAGCAUGAUUGAAUGAUUGUAUGAAAGUUUUGUUAAGAAAUUUUAUUGUUUGGUUAGUCAAUUUGGUAAAAAAGGACUAAAUUACAUAAAGUGCAAAACUGAAGUUCUAUUAGCUAAAAGAAUCUAACAGCUAUAGAACCUUAAAAGUAAAGGUCCUUAUGUUCUAAUCUGACCAUUAAUGAAAUAAGUGGACAAUUAUAGACAACUAUUAAGUGAUUUUUAUUGUUUAAUGUUAAGGUUAAUUUGGUAAUUGUUAAAUACAUGUUAAUUAACUAAAACAAAACAUAAAAUUUAGGCAUUCAUCAUCUUCAUAGAAGAAUGUUAGGGCAAAGAAAGCCAUUUUCAAGCUUUCAAAAUUUCGGCAACUUCACUUGGCUAUUUUGGUAUGAAUUUUGUCUCGUUUUUAAUUAUUUCUAAGUUUUUGUGAUCGUUGCAACUAGUAAUAACUAGCCUAGGGACUAUUUUGCAAAACUGUUAAAGAUUUUGAAAGUUGCCAUUGAUGAAAAUAUGUGUUUUUUGAUGUUUGAUGAUGAAAUAUGAAUAUUUGUUAUGAAUUAUACAAGUUUUGUUAAGUGAUUUUUAGUGAAAAUGCAAAAUAGAGAUUAAAUUGAGAAAUGUUAAAAUUUUGUGGUUAAAAUGUGAAAUAAAUGGAAAAUAUAGGCUGCUGGGGGUAUAAUGGUAAUUCAGAUAGCAUGGGCUAGUCUUGAAUUUCAUAAAUUUGUGAUUUUUAUGUAAUAAGGACUAAAUUGUAAAAAUGUGAAAGUUUAGGGGCUAAUGUGUAAAAUAGCUCAAAUGCAUAUUUUGAAUUGAAUUGAAUAAUUAGAAGAAUAAAUAAGCUGAUUAUGAUUACUUAUAGAUAGAUCAAGAAAAGAGAAAUUCGGGCUUAAACUGGGGAAAAAGCAAAGUAAUUGAAUAGUCUGUCCAUUCCAUCAUUCCGUACAUUAGGUAAGUUCGUAUAAUUGAACUUAAAUGUGUAUCUGUUAAAUUGAUGGAUGGUAUUGUGAUUGUAUUUAUCUUAUUGGUUAAAUUUGGAAGAUUUUGAAUUAAAUGUACGAUUUAAGUAAGAAGAAUUGUUAAAUAAGACCAUAGCUAGACUAUGGUAAAUCGGAUAAUAAGACCAUAACCGGGUUAUGCAAUGUGAAUGUAAGACCACAACAGGGCCAUGGCAACAUAUGUGUAAGACCAUAGUUGGACUAUGGCAUCAAAAAAUCGAUGUGCUCGUACCAUAAGCAUUUAUAAAACCGGAGUGACUUGGUAAGUGAAUUGAUGAGAAAUAGUUACAUAUCGGUACAGGUAUGUAGAAACUGUUCAAAUGAAUUAAAGGAAGCCGAGAAUUUAAGCUUAACAUGUUGUUAAACUUUAUGUUAACUUAGUGAUUGAUGCUUUAAUGCAAUUUAUGUUAUCUAUUUAGAUAUGUUAAUGAGUGAUAAGAUUAUUUCCUAUUUACAUAUGAACUUACUAAGCUUCAUAGCAUACUUUGCUUACCUUUCCAUGUUUUAUAGUCUUAGAAAACUAGCUUGGAUUCGAGGAUUGUCAGAGACUUCAUCGCACUAUCAGACAUCUAUUUUGGUACUUUUGAAGCUUAUAUAUAUGGUAUAGGGCAUGUAUAGGCUUGAGUGAUUUUGGUAUGUUUGAUGAACAUGUAUUUUGGCCAUUUGAGUUGGCUUAUGAUGAUAAAUUUGAUGAUGUUUAUAAUUGUGUAAAUGGUUCUAAUUUGAGUUUGGUAAUUAACCUAUAUUGUGUGAUUGAGGUUGAAAUUAUAAUGCUUAAUGAUAUUAGGUAAUUUGAUUGCUAAAAGGUUUGAUAAUGUGUAAGUUAUGUGCUUGUGAAAUGGUGAAUGAUAAUGCAUGUUUGGAAUGAUUUAGUUAAUUGAAUUGUAUAUGUGAAAUAGGUAUUCAAAUAGAUGGCAAAUUGUGGCUUAUUUGUGAUUUGUAUUGAUGAUAAUGAAAUGGUAUGAAUUGAAUAUUGGUUGACGAUAUUUGGUUGCUAUUUUUGUCUUGAAAUGGGACUAUAUGAGCUUGUAUAGGUAUGUGCAAAUUGGGUGGCAAAAUAGCUUGGUAAAUAGCCUAUUUUUGUCCACACGGUCAAAGACACGAGAAUGUAUCUCAGCCGUGUGUGACACACGGUCAUGUUACACGGCUGUGUGUCCUCUGGUGUUGAAUUUGAAACCAAUUCAAUAUGCUCCACACGGCCUCACACACGGACGUGUGACUUGGCUGUGUGGCAUAAGUCAGUAUACCCUACAGGUUUGGCACGACCUAGCAUACAGCCUGGCACACGGGCGUGUGUGGCCAUUUUUAGGGUACACGAGCUAUCCACACGGGCAUGUGUGUUGGCCAUGUGACCCAAGUCAGAGAGUUACACGGGGUAGGACACAAGCUGGGACACGACCAUGUGCUCCUAUUUCGAAUGUCCACACGGCUUGUGACAAGACCAAAAAUAGGCCUGUGUCACAAGCCGUGUGGACAUUCGAAAUGGGAUCACAUGGCUGUGCCCUAGCUUGUGUCUGGCCCCGUGUAACUCUUUGAUGGGGUCACAUGGCCAACCCCACGCUUGUGUGACCAGCCCGUGUGCCCUUCGAAAUGGCCCUACAUGCCGAUGUGCUAGGCCGUCCCAAACUUAUAGGGCAUACUGACUUAUGCCACACGGCCAAGUCACACGCUCGUGUGCUGGGCCAUGUGGAGCAUACUGACUUGAUUUCUAAUUAAACACCAGGGGACACACAACCAUGUCACCUGACUGUGUGUCACAUACAGCUGAGACACACGCCUAUGUCUCUGCUUGUGUGGACAAAAGUAGGCUAUUUACCAAGCCAUUUUGCUCACCCAAAUAGCACAUACCUACACCAAACCAAUUAGCACAUAAUAUGGCAUAAAUAGGCAUUCAACCAACAUCAGCCAAUCAUAUUUCAUACCAUUUCAUUACCAACAAUUACGAGGCACACAAAUAUAACAAUACACCAUUCAAUCUCAUACCAAAAAUUCACAUUCUUAAAUCAUCAAUAUGGUCACUUUCAAACAUGCAUUAUUUUAUCUAAAAUUCACAAACAUACCAAAUUCAAAUCUCAACCAUUUAGUAUCGCUAAUUGCCAAUUAUCAACAAACAUCACAUAUCCAUUAUCAAUGUAACACCCCAUACUCGUACCCUACACUGGGACGGAGUACAAGGCAUUACCUAACUUAAACUCGUGUUUACUACCAAUUCUGAGUCUCCAAGACUUGGACAAAUUNNNNNNNNNNNNNNNNNNNNNNNNNNNNNNNNNNNNNNNNNNNNNNNNNNNNNNNNNNNNNNNNNNNNNNNNNNNNNNNNNNNNNNNNNNNNNNNNNNNNNNNNNNNNNNNNNNNNNNNNNNNNNNNNNNNNNNNNNNNNNNNNNNNNNNNNNNNNNNNNNNNNNNNNNNNNNNNNNNNNNNNNNNNNNNNNNNNNNNNNNNNNNNNNNNNNNNNNNNNNNNNNNNNNNNNNNNNNNNNNNNNNNNNNNNNNNNNNNNNNNNNNNNNNNNNNNNNNNNNNNNNNNNNNNNNNNNNNNNNNNNNNNNNNNNNNNNNNNNNNNNNNNNNNNNNNNNNNNNNNNNNNNNNNNNNNNNNNNNNNNNNNNNNNNNNNNNNNNNNNNNNNNNNNNNNNNNNNNNNNNNNNNNNNNNNNNNNNNNNNNNNNNNNNNNNNNNNNNNNNNNNNNNNNNNNNNNNNNNNNNNNNNNNNNNNNNNNNNNNNNNNNNNNNNNNNNNNNNNNNUGCUAUGUUAGUCCUAGAAUCGACUAAAUCGUAGAUCUGAUACAAAUUAAAUGUAACACCCCUUACCCGUAUCCUUCACCAGAAUAAGGUUACGAGGCAUUACCGAAUAAUACACAUUAUUCACAUACAUUAAAACAUUCAUAAUCGAAAUCCAAUCAAAUCAUUCACAUCGUCCCUUAUAAGGUUUUACGAGACCUUAAAACAUACUUAGAAGUGUUUCAGGACUAAACCGAUAACAUAUGUAUACUUUGGGAAACUUAGAAAAUUUUCUUUAAUUUCAGGGUCACACACCUAUGUGAACAGGCUGUAUGCCUCACAUGGUAACCAGACACGCCCGUGUCAUAGGCCGUGUGAAAACAGGGCAUACAUACUGACUUGUAUCACACGGCUAAGGACACGCUCGUGUGCCAUGAUCAUGGGAAAACUAGGGAGUUUACUGACUUGGGUCACAUGACUGGCCACACGCCCAUAUGCCAGCCCUUGUGCCACACACGGUCAAUAGACACGUCCGUGUAUCUAGGCCGUGCCAAAACUGAAGGGUAUACUGCCUUAAUUCGAAAGGGUAACCUAGGGGAUACACGGCCAUGUAACAUAGUCGUGUGCCACACACAGCUGAGACACACGCCCAUGUCUCUGCUUGUGUGGACAAAAACAGGCCAUUUGCAAAACCAAUUUUCCAUCCUUUUCUCAUAUUCACCUAUUCAUCAUAAUGGUACCAUUUCAACACAUAUAUAAGCAUCCAAAAACAUGAAAUUCCAUAUACAUAACAUGCCAUCUAUCACAACCAAUUCAACUAACCAAUUCCACAACCAAAACAUAUCUAAACAAUACGCCAAUACCAACAUUUUCACUUAUCUCACUUAUGUAUUUUCUCAUCAACUUAUCACCUAUUUUAUAUCACAAAACUUACCAACUUAGCAUCUCAUAGUCAAACCACAAUAUGCCAACUUAUAAAGCAUUAUAUAUAUCAUAUUCAUCACUUAUCCAACACAUAACUUAAGCCAACCUAAAUGGUCAUACAUACCAACAUUUACAAGCCAAAUCUCAUGGCUAAUAUCAUGACCCAAAAUAUAUCAAAAUGACACUAACCUAUACAAGCCAUAAACCAUAUAUACAAAGCCUCAAAAGUACCAACAAGAUGAUCAAUAGUGCAAUGAUGUUUCCCAACAAUCCUUGAGUCUGAGCUAGUUUCAAUAAUCUAUAAAACAUGGAAAUAACAUACAAAGUAAGCUUUAAAAGCUUAGUAAGCCAUAUACAAAUAAAACUAUCACAUGAACAUUUUCAUUUCAAUUCAAAUAUGUUUAACAUAGCAAAUAUCAUUCAAAUUCACAAACCUUUCCCAUUGAACACAUAUAUUCAAUGUCUUAAUCGAGUUCAUCCAAUAUUUACCCUUUUCAAUACUCAUAUGAAUUUCGUAUGUACCUGUGUCACUUAGCUCAUUCACCUAUUCUUUCUCAACUUGACUUUUCCCAUUGAACCAUCCGGAGUCAAUAAGGAUACUCGAAAAUCACAGAAGCUCAUACAAUGCCAUAUCCCAGAUAUGGUAUUACAUGUUAUCACAUAUAGAUGCCACUGUCCCAAAUAGGGUCUUACACGAAAUUGAUUAACAAUGCCAAUGUCCCAGACAUGGUCUUACACGUAAUCUCAAUAUAAUGCCAACGUCCCAGACAUGGUCUUACAUAUAAUCACAUCUUGAUAACCUAAUGUCAUGACAUCAGUAUCUUAUACUAUUCUUAAGGUUCGUACGAGACUUUCGGAUGUCGUAACUCUGUUGAUUCUUCUCGUAAUUGUUCUUUCAACAUUCAUAACAAUUCAAUGAUAAAUAAAUACAUAUAAUUCAAUUUAAAGACAUUUAUUUGCAUAUGAACUUACCUCUUAGUCGUAAUAAACAGACGAAAUCGACUAUUCAUCAACUUCUGAUUUUCCCCGAUCUAAAUCCGUUUUCUUUCGUUCUUGAUCUAUAUUCUAUAUACAAUCAAAAUUAACUCUUUUAUUCAUAAACACUUUCAAUUUCAUCCACAAACACAUAUUUGAGCAUUUUUUCACUUUAGCCCCUAAAGUUACACAUUUAUUCAAUUUAGUCCCUAUUUCAUAAAUACACAAAAUUCACAAAAUUCAAUAUGACCCAUGCUUAGCCGAAUUCUUUAUAAGUCCCUAGCAGCCCAUAUUUUUCAUUUAUUUCACAAUUUAACCAUUCAAUUUGCACUUUUCUCAAUUUAAUCUCUAAUAUAUAUUUUUACUCAAAAUCACUUUACAGAACAUGUAUAUCAAGCACCAAGCUUUCAUAAUUCAUCAUCAAACAUCAUAAAACACAUGAAUUCAUCAAUGAAAACUUUCAAAAUCAUCAAUAAUUUGAGAAAUUAGGGUAAGGGCUAGCUAGUACUCAAAGCAACAAUCAUAAAAACAUAAAAAUCAUUAAAAAUCGAGCUAAGUGCUGAACCCUAAAAUGAGCCUAAAAGCUUUCUUUUCUCUGCAAUAAUCGGUUAUGGAAAGAAAAAUGAACACCAUUUUCUAUUUUUUUAUUAUUUAUCUUAUGUUAUUUAGCAUUUUAAAAAUUUAACCUUAAUUAAAACCAUUAUAAAACAUAUAAUUCAAGGCCAUUUAUGUCCAUCACCACUAUCAAUGGUCUAAUUACAAUAUAAGGACCUUUCAUUUAAUAAGCCAUAGCAAUUUGGAACUUUUAACUUAUAGAAUGCAGCUUUUUCAUUUUAUAUGAUUUAGUCCUUUUUCUCAAAUUGAACUAUUAAACGAUAAAAUUUGCUCACGAGAUUUUCACACAUGCAUUUUCACAUACUUUAAACGUCAAAAAUAAUAUUAAAAUAAUUUUACAACCUCAGAUUGGUGGUUCUGAAACCACUGUUCUGAUUUAGCUAAAAUUAGGCUGUUAUAGUUCCAAUUCCUUGUAGCACCGAGUAUGAUUGAGGCAUAGAGGUUUGAAAGAAGUGGAAAUUAAGGAUUUAAGGUUUAAAUAGUUGUAAGAGAUUUUGAGAGGAUUGAGAGGAUAAGGGGUUAAGACGUGUUUAAGGAGGUAGAUAAUAUGUUUUUAGGUUAAAAAUUAGCGGUUUAGGUGUUAACAAGUCGGUUUUAACACUGCCAGGUUGCACUGUCAAGUCGGGUCACCUUAAACAAUUGCAGCGAUGUCACGACAGAGGGGUUCUUAGUCAUAACACACUCUAAAUUUUUAGAUUUUUGAGUAUAUUGAAUUUGAUUUCAUGACACUGAAAGUCCGUUUUGUGACAUCGCAAUAAUUUUCUCAAAUUUUUUAAAACCUUAGUGUUGUGACAGGGGUCCUGUGUUGCGACACUGGCUCUGUUUUCACUUAAAGUUCCAUUUUCUAGAGUGCUACAAUUUCUAUAAAAUGAAAAGUUAGUGAAAAUUAAAAUCUAUACUAAACAAUUAUCUAAAUAUACAAUAAUUUACAAAAGUUUAGCAUCAUUUAUUCUUUAUGUCAAGGCGAUGUUGCGAUAUCCUUUGCCCUAUGUUGCAACACAGGUGGCAGUUUGCUUGACUCAUGCUGAAAUUCAGGGCUGUGUCACGAUACCAAAGGCAGUCUUGUUAUUUUGGGUAUCCUGAUCAUCAUGUUGUGACUUCAAACCUCCAUUGUUCCAACAUGGAAACUAGUCUCAUGUUCUCAUGCCUCCAAAUGAUUUCCUACAAACUCACCAAACAUGUUAGUCUUCCUUUUGGCCUACUUUGGUCCCUACAGUCAUAUAAAUGACUCAAAUCACACUUUUUUAUUAUUUAAGAACUAAAAGAGAAAAACUAAAUAAAACAUGAUGAAAUUACUUUUAUUCAAGUUUGAAAAAUGGUUUAAUCUACAACAAAAAAUUGUGGCAUAUCAAACUCCCCUAUGCUUACGUCAUUGCUUGUCCUCAAGCAAAAAGACAGAAAAAACUACAAUAAAAGAGGACUCUUGAAAAAUUAUGAUAAAAGGACCAGUUUUGGAACACAUAACUAGGAAUAAUCAUACAUACAUGUAAUUCUAACAUGAUAUAUAAAUGACUUACCAUUCUUAACUUCAAACACCUAAGUUCAAUAUAUUAUAAAAUAUAUAAACAAUAGGGUCCUCAAAUAUAUGAAUCCAUUGAUAAAUCAUAUAGGUAAUUUGAUUAUCCUAGCAGAAUACAAACAAUCUUUAUUACAAUUACUAGAUAUAAUGUCCAUUCAUGAAUAGAUUUACCAAGGUCACAUAGAACUUUUUGGGUUGUAAGUUCUAACGCUUAAGGUAGGUAUGGAAUUCAAGAACAAGGGCAUCAAAAUAGUUUCAAGCACAAAAUUAGUUUGACACGUCACAUUAUUCCCUAUUCUUCCCCUUAAUAACCCUUUCCUGCUCACCUUUUUAUUUCUCGUUCUCUCACCUUUCUUAUUUCUCGAUUUAGGAAGCCACAAUAUAAUAGAGCUACUAUGGUCAGCUUACAAGUUUUUGUGCACGAAUGGUUGAGAUUUCUAAUUUUGUAACUAAUUUUUUAGUCAUUUUUUAUUUUUUCAACAUAUCUCACUCACAAUGCUUUCAUUUUCAUUGUUCAAGUAAUUUUUCUACUCGUUUUGACCUUUCUGAAUUUUUUCUUUUAUUUUGCACAUUUUGGCUAAACCUUAUAAUCACUAUAUCACACUGCUCCUUCCUAUAUCACCCUACUUUUUUACAAAAUUGGCAUGGUGUCUCUACCUAACCCUCAAUACGUAUGACCAAAUUUCUAAAUUUAUGCAUUUCAAGGACCAAAUAAAAAGGGUAAGUACAAGUUCAUAAGUUGGCUCAGGUUUUGCAUGAAGGUUCAUCAAAAAGAGUUUUCUGGCUCAAUAUGGUACUAAGGAUAAAUGACUAAGGUUUGAUUUUUGGCUUUGGAUUAUACCAAACAAUACCUUAGGUCAUCCCUAGGUAUCUCAAUAUUCACAAAUUUAAUCAAUGAAGAAAUCACCAUUUUAACCAUUGAUCAUACAUACUUGUAUACUCGUCUCCCUAUAUUCUCUUUGUCAUUUGGUAUAUUCAAAUACUUAAUGCCUAUUUAUAGUUUAAUAUAUAGCACUUAGUAGUCUAAUAACUAAAAAUUAAAAAUCAUUCACUAUCAUGCCAAAUUUAUCGUAAAUACAACCAAACUAUAUACAUGCUUCUAACCAAUCACUUUUAUUUCUACAAGCUGAAACACACUUUUGACAAGAAAAAUAAAUGUAAAAGUGUAAAAAUCAAACUAACCUAUGCUCCCCUCACACUUUAAAUAGCACUGUGUCCCUAUUGUGUAGCCCUUAAAUAUAUAAUGAAUGAAGUUACUUGAUUCAUUGUGACAUUGUUGUAGUAUUAUGGUGGGUACUUCCUUCCUCGUUCGUUUGAAGUUCGUGACAUGAGGAGUUAAUGUCGCAACAUACAAAGAAGUUUCCCAUUUCGUUGAGUUAUUUUAUUCUUCCUACAUCUCCUUCAUUCCUGAAUUAAAAUUUUUCCUUAUUGGCUGUAGAAUUUUCAAGCAUUUCAUUCAUCUCCCAAUUUUCUUUCGUAGUUUUUCUUUCUUCAUGCUUCAUUCAUAUGGCUUUACAUUGCAAAUCUUGUGUCUUGAUUGCUUCUUUAGCCGUUCCUCUGAAAUAAUGUUUUAUUCUUUUACCAUUGACUAAAAAAGUUGUUCCCCAUUUCUAAUGGGCUCUAUUGCACCGUGAGAUGCUACUUGAUUUAUAAUCUACGGUCCUAUCCAUUUUUAUUUUUAUUUUCCAGGAAAUAAUUUUAAUCUUAAGUUGAACAAGAGUACUUUUUUCCUAGAAAAUAAUCUCGCUUAUUUAUCCCUUCAUCCUGUCGGAUUUUACUCGUUUCUUUAUAUAACUUCGCAUUUUGAUAGGCCAUGAAUUAGAAAAUCUUCUAACUCUUGCAGUUAGAAUAACCCCUCUUGCUUAGCUAAUUUAGGAUCUAAGUUUAAUUCCUUUAUUGCCCAAUAUGCCCUCUUUUUUAAUUCAAUUGGCAAUUGUUUUUUUUUCUUACACAAGUUUGUAAAAGGACAUACCUAAGGGUGUUUUGUAUGUCGUUCUAUAUGCCUAUAGUGCAUCAUCCAAUCUAAGGGCCGAAUUUUUCCUGUUAGGAUUAAUAGUUUUUUUCUAGGAUUUGUUUGAUCUCACGAUUGGACACCUUUGCUUGUCCAUUAUCCUGAGGGUGGUAUGCUGUCGUUAUUUGGUACCUUACACAGUACUCAAGUAUAGUUGUUCCAAAAUAUUUACUACAAAAGUGAGAUCCUUCAUCACUCACAAGAGUGCGAGGCAUUCCAAAUCUUAGGAAUAUGUUUUUCCCCAGAAAUUUAACUACUAACCUCGAAUCAUUUGUAGGCAGGGUUGUUGCCUCAGCCCAUCUAGAAAUGUGAUCAAUGACUAGCAAUAUGUAUUGGUUUUGGAAGGAACUUGGAAAUGUCCCAUAAAAUCAAUCCCCCAAACAUCAAAUACUUUUACCACAAGGAUUCCCAUAUGUGGCAUUUCAUCUCUUUUAGAUUUUUUUCCAGUUCGUUGACAUCUAUCAAACCCCUGUACAAAUUUGUAAGAGUCUCUGUAACACCCCAAACCCGGCCCAGACGUUAUGAUCGGAUCUGACAUGCCACAUCGAAGCGUUCAAAAUAUUUUAUAUUGUUGAUCCUGAAAAACUUACUUAGUGUUUUAAAAGAUAAUUUCAUUAUAGGUUAAAGUGAAUGGAAGCUGUGCACCAGGUAGGAAACCGGAAAAGAGGUGGUGAGUCCAUCGGACUGCUUAAGUACCAAGCUCCCUUCGGAUCCAAUCCUAGACAUGCAUACCGCCAUUGCCACACCUUAACGUCAUGGAUAUUUCUAGGAAACCGAUUUGAUUAAGUCAUUUUUAGGAAAAGUGAUUAAUUUUGGAAAAUACUUUCAUUGCGGAAGCUUUGUUUGUUGUCGUGUUAUUUUAAAAGCAAUUGUUGUUUUUGAAAAUGCGCCCUAAAGCUAUCCAAUUUCAACAGUUAAAAUAAGUAAUACCUAUCUUAGUAAUACAUAUUAAAACCAUCAAAAAUAAUUAAACGGCCUUAUUACAUUUAAAAACCCAAAACUUCAAACGUAAAUAAAAGGAUGUCCAGUUCACCAGAAGAAAAUCAAACUUUCAGAACGGGUGGCCACUCCGAAUUCCUUCACAGCUCCAAGCCCACUAUGGUUGGGGAUUACCUGCGUGGAUGAAAAUAAAAGGGGUGAGUUUGGGGAAACUCAGUAUGUAAGGAAAACCCAUUCAAAGCCCAAGUCAGCUUAAGCCCAUUGGGCCUAAGCCCAUUCAGGUAACAGUGGUACUGGGCCAGAGCCCUUUUCAGAUUACAAUAAACUGGGCCUUAGCCCCUUAUUCAGAUAACAGUAUGGCCCAUAGGCCUAUUUCAAAAUACAUGCAACAUCAGUAAACAUAUGCAAGCCCAUUAGGGGAGACUACUCAACCCACCAACCACUACACUCCACCCAUACCAGCCAUACACUCCAUGUGGGGAAUAGCUCAACCCACCCAGCCCAACACUCCACAGUUGCAGCCUUGCUGCUCAGUUAACAGUAAAUUGAGGCAAAGCCUCCAGUAUGUGGACAAGCCACUUUCAGUACUUCCUCCGUCAAUAUCCCAGUCCCAUGCAUCAGAUAAUAACAACAUGGCAUGCAGUAAAUAACAACAGUCAAACAUGCAUUUAGGUCAAUUUAACCCUAGGGGUAUUUCAGUAAUUUAUCUACUAGGUGUAAAACUGUAAAUUUUCCACUUUUUAAAGGUAUUUCAGUAAUUUAUCUAUUUUAGGGUUUUUCAUGCAUAUUCCUACUUUUCACGUACUAACAGAAUCACGUACCGAGGGUUCUUACCGAAUUGGGCCCGUUGUCCCAUCAUUCCAAUUUUGGCCCAUUAAGCCCAAAAAUAUCGAGGGCACAAAAAUCAUGCACUUUGCAGUCCAAAUUUUGCAGCUUACCAAAAACAUUAAUUGAUUUACCUCACGAGCAUUCGAACACUCACAAAUCUAAAAAAUACCGAUUUUCGGCAUUUCGGCUUUUCGACUUUUGCCGAUCCAGACUAAGAAAGAGGGUCUUAGUUACACACCUGUUUGCAAUGAUAUGCUGACGAGAUCCACACACGAACCGCCUACAAUUGGAUUACUAACAUGUUAAUCUAAUUAUUCAAAUACAAAAUACAUAUUAACCCCUUACAAUAUUCGGCCAACCACACCUACAGAUCAUAGUAAGCUUAUAAGAAAUCAAUAAGCAACUCAUUAACAAAUUUUUGUCAAUGUUAACCACAUAAUCAUAAUCUCACUGCAAGCUGUCUUCCUGAACAACAGUCACUAAAUCAUUUAUAACUGGAGCUACGAAACUCCAAAUCAAGUUCCAUUAAUUUUCCCUGAAAAUAGACUCAUAUAUCUUAUAUCCAUAAAAUUUUCAGAAUUUUUGGUUUGGCCAAUCAAUACCAGAUUUUUCUCAAAGUUUCGCAUGUUUCACUGUUUGACUAAUCUGACCACUCUUCAUUACGAAUCAAAUUUCUCAUUGUACAGAAUUCAAAAUAUGUUCUAGUUUAUUUCAUUUGAAACUAGACUCAUUAAGCUUUAAUUACAUAAUUUAUUCAGCUUCUAAUUCAUCUCCCACAAUUUAUGGUGAUUUUCCAAAGUCAAGUUACUGCUGCUGUCCCAAGCAGAUUUAUUACCAAAUCACUCUUUCACACCUAACUUGCAUGCUUGUUAUUUAAACAUGUAUAUCACCAAUCAAUCAUCACAUAUCUAUGAUUUUACUUAAGUAUAAUCUCCAUUUCAUCAUUUUAAAGCACAACAUGUUAGCCGAUUUUUCCCUUUAACAUCUAAGGCACAUGCAUGCUCAUUUGUUUGGCUCAACUUCACCUAUCUUCCAUUUUUCAUCAAAAGAACAUGAAACGACAACCAUUUCCUUCAUUUUAAUUCAUGACUAAAUGCUCACAACACAACUAAAAACCAAAAUAUGCUUCAAGAGUUAAGGUAGAAUCAAGAAGAACUCAUGAACCUCAAAAUAAAAGCAAACUACCAUGAACUUACCUUCAAUUUUCUUCCCCAAGUGACCGAACAUUCAAGAGCUUUCUCCUCUCCUUUCUCUUCUCUAACUUUAGGCUAUGAUGAACAAAGAUGGACAAAACUUUGUUCUUUUCACCCCUUUUUCUUU
rnacentral:lncRNA from 1 species